rnacentral:rRNA from 1 species
AGGACGAACGCUGGCGGCGUGCUUAACACAUGCAAGUCGAGCGGAAAGGCCACUUCGGUGGUACUCGAGCGGCGAACGGGUGAGUAACACGUGAGUAAUCUGCCCUCCACUUUGGGAUAGCCACCGGAAACGGUGAUUAAUACCGGAUAUGACCUCGGCCCGCAUGGGUUGUGGUGGAAAGUUUUUCGGUGGGGGAUGUGCUCGCGGCCUAUCAGCUUGAUGGUGGGGUAAUGGCCUACCAUGGCUUCGACGGGUAGCCGGCCUGAGAGGGUGACCGGCCACACUGGGACUGAGACACGGCCCAGACUCCUACGGGAGGCAGCAGGUGGGGAAUAGUUGGACAAGUGGGCGGAAGCCGUGAUCCAGCAACGCCGCGUGAGGGAU